AGUAAAGUGGCAGAAAAGUGCCUUAGAUUUAAGCUCUAAUUAUGAAGAUACCUUCCUUUACUA
rnacentral:tRNA from 1 species